UACGUAGGGACCGAGCGUUGUCCGGAAUCAUUGGGCGUAAAGAGCGUGUAGGCGGCCACUUAAGUCCUGCGUGAAAUCUUGCGGCUCAACCGCAAGCGGUCGUGGGAAACUGGGUGGCUAGAGUGCGGGAGAGGAGAGUGGAAUUCCUGGUGUAGCGGUGGAAUGCGCAGAUAUCAGGAAGAACACCGGUGGCGAAGGCGGCAAUCUGGAACGCGACUGACGCUGAGACGCGAAAGCGUGGGGAGCAAACAGG
rnacentral:rRNA from 1 species